AACGAACGCUCGGCGGCAGGCUUAACACAUGCAAGUCGAGCGCCCCGCAAGGGGAGCGGCAGACGGGUGAGUAACGCGUGGGAAUCUACCCAUCUCUACGGAACAACUCCGGGAAACUGGAGCUAAUACCGUAUACGUCCUUAUGGAGAAAGAUUUAUCGGAGAUGGAUGAGCCCGCGUUGGAUUAGCUAGUUGGUGGGGUAAUGGCCUACCAAGGCGACGAUCCAUAGCUGGUCUGAGAUGAUGAUCAGCCACACUGGGACUGAGACACGGCCCAGACUCCUACGGGAGGCAGCAGUGGGGAAUAUUGGACAAUGGGCGCAAGCCUGAUCCAGCCAUGCCGCGUGAGUGAUGAAGGCCCUAGGGUUGUAAAGCUCUUUCAACGGUGAAGAUAAUGACGGUAACCGUAGAAGAAGCCCCGGCUAACUUCGUGCCAGCAGCCGCGGUAAUACGAAGGGGGCUAGCGUUGUUCGGAAUUACUGGGCAUAAAGCGCACGUAGGCGGAUACUUAAGUCAGGGGUGAAAUCCCGGGGCUCAACCCCGGAACUGCCUUUGAUACUGGGUAUCUGGAGUCCGGAAGAGGUGAGUGGAAUUCCGAGUGUAGAGGUGAAAUUCGUAGAUAUUCGGAGGAACUCCCGGUGCGGAAGGCGGCUUACUGCCUCAAAACAGCCGAUGACGAUAAAAAAGUUUAGGAACAAACACGUUUAGAUUUUCUGGUAGUCCCCCCCGUAACCGAAGUAUGCCAGGCGUCGGGUAGCAUCAUUCUCGAUGUAACCACUCCUGGAUUAAGCAUUCCGCCUGGGGAGUACGGUCGCAAGAUUAAAACUCCAAGGAAUUGACGGGGGCACGCACUAGCGGUAGAGCAUGUGGUUUAAUUCGAAGCACCGUGCAGAACCUUGACAAAGCUUGACAUCAUGAUAGCGGAUCGUAGAGAUUCUUUCCUUCAAUUCGGCUGGAUCAUUUACAGUCGCUCCAUGGCUGUCGACACAACAUCUCGUGAGAUGUUCGGUUCAGUCCGGCACAGAGCGCAACCCACAUCGUUAAUAUUCCAGCGGUUUGGCCGGGGUCUCUAUGGAAACUGCGCGUGAUAAGCGGGAGGAAGGUGUGGACGAUGUCAAGUCCUCAUCGUCCUUACGGGUUGGGCUCCACACGUGCUCCAAUGGCAGUGACAAUGGGUUAAUAUCAAAAAACUGUCUCAGUUCGGAAGGGGGUAUGCAACUCGGAAACAUGAAGUCAGAAUCGCUAGUAUUCGCGUAACACCAUGCCGCGGAGAAUAUGUUCCCGGUCAUCGUACACACUACCCGUCUCUCCACAGGAGUUGGGUCUCUCCGCACGCGCGCCGACAUCCUCUCGAGGAGGCAGCGGCACACGGUAAGCUCACCGCCUGGGGUGAAUUCGUAACAAGGUAGCCG
rnacentral:rRNA from 1 species